rfam:Dipodomys ordii contig_50875, whole genome shotgun sequence.
GUGAAGGUGGCUCAGUGGUAGAGUUCUUGCCUUACAUGCAUGAGGUCCUGAGUUCGAUUCCUCAGCACA